rfam:Mesocricetus auratus contig138001, whole genome shotgun sequence.
AGCUUUGUGCAGUUGCAGUAUCAUAGCCAAUGAGUUUUAUCCGAGGUGCGAUAAUUGCUAGUUGAAAACUUUUCACAAGAAAUACGGUUAGCCCCAAAAAUGGUCUAUCUAAUGAUUCAAUAUCCUUGAUUGUUAGGC